rnacentral:rRNA from 1 species
GACGAACGCUGGCGGCGGGCUUAACACAUGCAAGUCGAACGGAAAUGCCCUUCUGUUGUGGGGUGCUCGAGUGGCGAACGGGUGAGUAACACGUUAUUAACCUGCCCUUGACUUUGGGAUAACUUCAGGAAACUGGGGCUAAUACCUGAUAGGAGCUCCUGCUGCAUGGUGGGUGUUGGAAAGUUUCGGCGGUUGGGGAUGGACUCGCGGCUUAUCAGCUUGUUGGUGGGGUAGUGGCUUACCAAGGCUUUGACGGGUAGCAGGCCUGAGAGGGUGACCGGCCAAAUUGGGACUGAGAUACGGCCCAGACUACUACGGGAGGCAGCAGUGGGGAAUAUUGCACAAUGGGCGGAAGCCUGAUGCAGCAACGCCGCGUGCGGGAUGACGGCCUUCGGGUUGUAAACCGCUUUCGCCUGUGACGAAGCGUGAGUGACGGUAAUGGGUAAAGAAGCACCGGCUAACUACGUG